rnacentral:rRNA from 1 species
UUAAGUUAUUAAGGGCGCACGGUGGAUGCCUUGGCACUAGAAGCCGAUGAAGGACGUUACUAACGACGAUAUGCUUUGGGGAGCUGUAAGUAAGCUUUGAUCCAGAGAUUUCCGAAUGGGGAAACCCAGCAUGAGUUAUGUCAUGUUAUCGAUAUGUGAAUACAUAGCAUAUCAGAAGGCACACCCGGAGAACUGAAACAUCUUAGUACCCGGAGGAAGAGAAAGAAAAUUCGAUUCCCUUAGUAGCGGCGAGCGAAACGGGAAGAGCCCAAACCAACAAGCUUGCUUGUUGGGGUUGUAGGACACUCUAUACGGAGUUACAAAGGACGACAUUAGACGAAUCAUCUGGAAAGAUGAAUCAAAGAAGGUAAUAAUCCUGUAGUCGAAAAUGUUGUCUCUCUUGAGUGGAUCCUGAGUACGACGGAGCACGUGAAAUUCCGUCGGAAUCUGGGAGGACCAUCUCCUAAGGCUAAAUACUCUCUAGUGACCGAUAGUGAACCAGUACCGUGAGGGAAAGGUGAAAAGCACCCCGGAAGGGGAGUGAAAUAGAACCUGAAACCGUGUGCUUACAAGUAGUCAGAGCCCGUUAAUGGGUGAUGGCGUGCCUUUUGUAGAAUGAACCGGCGAGUUACGAUUUGAUGCAAGGUUAAGCAGUAAAUGUGGAGCCGUAGCGAAAGCGAGUCUGAAUAGGGCGUUUAGUAUUUGGUCGUAGACCCGAAACCAGGUGAUCUACCCUUGGUCAGGUUGAAGUUCAGGUAACACUGAAUGGAGGACCGAACCGACUUACGUUGAAAAGUGAGCGGAUGAACUGAGGGUAGCGGAGAAAUUCCAAUCGAACCUGGAGAUAGCUGGUUCUCUCCGAAAUAGCUUUAGGGCUAGCCUCAAGUGAUGAUUAUUGGAGGUAGAGCACUGUUUGGACGAGGGGCCCCUCUCGGGUUACCGAAUUCAGACAAACUCCGAAUGCCAAUUAAUUUAACUUGGGAGUCAGAACAUGGGUGAUAAGGUCCGUGUUCGAAAGGGAAACAGCCCAGACCACCAGCUAAGGUCCCAAAAUAUAUGUUAAGUGGAAAAGGAUGUGGCGUUGCCCAGACAACUAGGAUGUUGGCUUAGAAGCAGCCAUCAUUUAAAGAGUGCGUAAUAGCUCACUAGUCGAGUGACACUGCGCCGAAAAUGUACCGGGGCUAAACAUAUUACCGAAGCUGUGGAUUGUCCUUUGGACAAUGGUAGGAGAGCGUUCUAAGGGCGUUGAAGCAUGAUCGUAAGGACAUGUGGAGCGCUUAGAAGUGAGAAUGCCGGUGUGAGUAGCGAAAGACGGGUGAGAAUCCCGUCCACCGAUUGACUAAGGUUUCCAGAGGAAGGCUCGUCCGCUCUGGGUUAGUCGGGUCCUAAGCUGAGGCCGACAGGCGUAGGCGAUGGAUAACAGGUUGAUAUUCCUGUACCACCUAUAAUCGUUUUAAUCGAUGGGGGACGCAGUAGGAUAGGCGAAGCGUGCGAUUGGAUUGCACGUCUAAGCAGUAAGGCUGAGUAUUAGGCAAAUCCGGUACUCGUUAAGGCUGAGCUGUGAUGGGGAGAAGACAUUGUGUCUUCGAGUCGUUGAUUUCACACUGCCGAGAAAAGCCUCUAGAUAGAAAAUAGGUGCCCGUACCGCAAACCGACACAGGUAGUCAAGAUGAGAAUUCUAAGGUGAGCGAGCGAACUCUCGUUAAGGAACUCGGCAAAAUGACCCGUAACUUCGGGAGAAGGGGUGCUCUUUAGGGUUAACGCCCAGAAGAGCCGCAGUGAAUAGGCCCAAGCGACUGUUUAUCAAAAACACAGGUCUCUGCUAAACCGUAAGGUGAUGUAUAGGGGCUGACGCCUGCCCGGUGCUGGAAGGUUAAGAGGAGUGGUUAGCUUCUGCGAAGCUACGAAUCGAAGCCCCAGUAAACGGCGGCCGUAACUAUAACGGUCCUAAGGUAGCGAAAUUCCUUGUCGGGUAAGUUCCGACCCGCACGAAAGGCGUAACGAUUUGGGCACUGUCUCAACGAGAGACUCGGUGAAAUCAUAGUACCUGUGAAGAUGCAGGUUACCCGCGACAGGACGGAAAGACCCCGUGGAGCUUUACUGUAGCCUGAUAUUGAAAUUCGGCACAGCUUGUACAGGAUAGGUAGGAGCCUUUGAAACGUGAGCGCUAGCUUACGUGGAGGCGCUGGUGGGAUACUACCCUAGCUGUGUUGGCUUUCUAACCCGCACCACUUAUCGUGGUGGGAGACAGUGUCAGGCGGGCAGUUUGACUGGGCGGUCGCCUCCUAAAAGGUAACGGAGGCGCUCAAAGGUUCCUCAGAAUGGUUGGAAAUCAUUCAUAGAGUGUAAAGGCAUAAGGGAGCUUGACUGCGAGACCUACAAGUCGAGCAGGGUCGAAAGACGGACUUAGUGAUCCGGUGGUUCCGCAUGGAAGGGCCAUCGCUCAACGGAUAAAAGCUACCCCGGGGAUAACAGGCUUAUCUCCCCAAGAGUUCACAUCGACGGGGAGGUUUGGCACCUCGAUGUCGGCUCAUCGCAUCCUGGGGCUGUAGUCGGUCCCAAGGGUUGGGCUGUUCGCCCAUUAAAGCGGUACGCGAGCUGGGUUCAGAACGUCGUGAGACAGUUCGGUCCCUAUCCGUCGUGGGCGUAGGAAAUUUGAGAGGAGCUGUCCUUAGUACGAGAGGACCGGGAUGGACAUACCUCUGGUGUACCAGUUGUCGUGCCAACGGCAUAGCUGGGUAGCUAUGUGUGGACGGAUAAGUGCUGAAAGCAUCUAAGCAUGAAGCCCCCUCAAGAUGAGAUUUCCCAACUUCGGUUAUAAGAUCCCUCAAAGAUGAUGAGGUUAAUAGGUUCGAGGUGGAAGCAUGGUGACAUGUGGAGCUGACGAAUACUAAUCGAUCGAAGACUUAAUCAA